UGGGUUGUGGCUUAGCGGUAGAGCAUGCGCCUAAGCAUGUGCAAGGCCCUGGGUUCAAUCCUCAGCAUUAUAU
rfam:Ictidomys tridecemlineatus contig024051, whole genome shotgun sequence.